rnacentral:tRNA from 1 species
CGUCGCGGUGAUCGCCGGCUGGGCGGCGGCGGUGGCGGCGCUGGCAGCCGCCGGUUCGAUCCCGGUCGCGGCGC